UGGCUCAGUGGUAGAGUGCUUGCCUUGCAUGCAUGAGGCCCUGGGUUCGAUUCCUCG
rfam:Dipodomys ordii contig_35007, whole genome shotgun sequence.